rfam:Triticum aestivum genome assembly, contig: Triticum_aestivum_CS42_TGACv1_scaffold_374601_5AL
UAUGUACUCCUUCCGUCCGGAAAUACUUGUCGGAGAAAUGCAUAUAAAAAUGAAUGUAUCUAGAACUAAAAUACAUCUAAAUACAUCUAUUUCUCCGACGAGUAUUUCCGGAUGGAGGGAGUACCUA